GAAUGAAUGGGUGGGUUAGUGUGUAAAUGAAUGGGUGAGUUAGUGUGUGAGUGGGUUAGUGUGUGAAUGAGUCAGUGGGUUAGUGUGUGAAUGGGUGGGUUAGUGUGUGAAUGAGUGAGUUCGUGUGUGAAUGGGUGAGUUAGUGUGUGAAUGAGUGGGUGAGUUAGUGUGUGAAUGAGAGGGUGUGUGAACGAGUGGGUUAGUGUGUAAAUGAGUGGGUGUGUGAACGAGUGGGUGAGUUGGUGUGUGAAAGAGUGGGUUAGUGCAUGAAUGGGUGGGUUAGUGUGUGAAUGGGUUGUGAACGAGUGGGUGAGUUAGUGUGUGAAUGAGUGGGUGAGUGUGUGAAUGAAUGGGUUAGUGUGUGAAUGAGUAGGUGAGUUAGUGUGUGAAUGAGAGGGUGUGAAUGAGUGGGUUAGUGUGUGAAUGAGUGGGUUAGUGUGCAAAUGAAUGGGUGAGUUUGUGAAUGGGUUAGUGUAUGAAUGAGUCGGUUUAGUGUGUGAAUGAGUGUGUGAAUGAGUAGGUAAGUUAGUGCGUGAACGAGUGGGUGAGUUAGUGUGUGAAUGAGUCGGUGAGUUAGUGUGUGAAUGAAUGGGUUAGUGUGUGAAUGAGUGGGUGGGUUAGUGUGUGAAUGGAUGAGUUAGUGUGUGAAUGAGUGGGUUAGUGUGUGAAUGAGUCGGUGGGUUAGUGUGUGAAUGAG
rnacentral:lncRNA from 1 species